rnacentral:rRNA from 1 species
GACAGAGGGUGCAAACGUUGUUCGGAAUUACUGGGCGUAAAGCGCGUGUAGGCUGCUUGGAAAGUCGGGUGUGAAAGCCCUGAGCUCAACUCAGGAAGUGCACUCGAAACUUCCAAGCUCGAAUCCUGGAGAGGGUGGCGGAAUUCUCGGUGUAGAGGUGAAAUUCGUAGAUAUCGAGAGGGACACCUGUGGCGAAGGCGGCCACCUGGACAGUGACUGACGCUGAGACGCGAAAGCGUGGGGAGCAAACAGG